AAGCUUUUCCUUUCCUUUCCUUUCUCAAUGUUUGUUUCCAAUGGCAAAAUUUUCAACUGCAUAAACAUCAAUUGGACUUUAAAGUGGCGAUCCAUUUUCAUCCCAUUUAUGCUUGUAAAUGAUCAAAUAUUCAUGCUGACAUAACAAAAUUUAUACCUAAGUUAGCAAUUGGGAUACUGACUUUUGAGGCUUCCAUUUCUCUUAGCAUAUGAGAUCAACUCUUCAUUUUCUUCUAUCUGCUGGAAAUUCCCCCACCAUGAGAUAAUCAAACGUGAACUCUCCUCAAUUCAUGUCUAAAAG
rnacentral:lncRNA from 1 species